AGAAGAAAGAACGCAACGAGACGUUAAUUCCUUUAAUUAAUCACUAUCAAUAAAUGGUGCAAGAGUGUUCAUUUGCAAGAAGAAGAUAAAUAGUCGCGCAGAGAGUUAAGACUUAUCAACUUCAAGCAAAAAAAAAGAUUUAAUUAAAACGUUAUUGUGCGUUUUGCGUUAUUGCGUUUUAAAUAUGAAUCGCACGAUUAUUUUAGACACGUUACAACUACUAUUUCUUAUUCCGUCUGAAUUAAACAUAAUGUGAGACAUAUUUAACUUUCAUGGAUACAAAAAUUCGCUAAUUUUUAUUUAUGUAGACUUGGAAAAAGUAAAAAAUAUAAAUUAGCAAAAUAUAUAACGAGAGCUGCAAUGCGCACAAUUGCACGAGAUUAUAUCAAGUGAAUAGCAUAAUGCAUAAUAAAUUAAAGAUGCGUUCGUCCAUUACGUGUCACAUAUUUUCAAUUCUUAUGCAUUCUCAUAUUUGUAUUCACAUAUCCACGUAAUAUUGUAUAAAAUGCAGCCCAUUAGAUUUGCAAUUUAAAAUAUCUGCUUUUAAAUACGUGUAGGCUCCUACCAAUUUCUUUAUAAUUUUAUUUAAAAAAUAUAUAUAAAAAGAUAUAUAUAUAGAGAGAGAGAGAGAGAGAGAGAGAGAGAGAGAGAGAGAGAACACAUAAAUUAACUCUAAAAUGUAGCAGCUGAAUUAUCAAGUAUUAUUUUGACAAACUAUAUUCCAAUGCACGUUAUUGCGUACUUAUUAUUUUAAGAAAUAGGUCUCCCUCAUCUUAUUUCCUCUUUAUUUUUGUCCGAUGAUAUAAUGAAUAAAGCGAAGAUAAAACAAGAAUGAAGACGAAUUAAAAAGAAAGUGGGACUAGUUGGUUGCAGUAAUGUGCAUCUGGCAUGCUUUUUUAUCUUCUGGAAUAUAAUAACUAAAUAUUAAAUAGAUUGAACAAAAGUAGUAAUAAGAAAAUAUUAACAAAUAAUGAAGGCAAGAUUAUGAAUAAUAUAAUAUGUCCGAUUCAUAUGAUUAAGAUAUAAAGAUGGUUUCAAUAUAUUGGAGUUACACAUUUUUUUUUCUCCUAUUCAUCCUGUCAAAAAUCAAUUCAUAGACGAACGAUGUCAUUCAUUCUGUGUGAUAUGUGUUUUAUCCAUUAUUUCGUUUAAACAAUAGUUAUGAUAAGAACAGGAAACAUAUAUGCAUACGCCAAUGAUCUAUUCUACGUCACUGCGAAUCGCGUAGUGCUUAAUGUCAGAGAACGUUCAGAUUAACAUAGGCCAAAAGGUAAGAAUAAAGAAAGAAAAUUCUUUUUGCGUUCCGUGUUGACUAACACAUCUCGUGUAAUGUACACAUUUCUAUUUCAGCGACUGCGUCAAUACGGAAUGCAAUUUUUCCACUAUAGAUUAUACAAAUUCGCGAAAAGUUGCAUCCACGAAGCUUCUUCCUCUAAUUUAAUCACUAUUAAUUAUGAUGUAUCUAUAAUGACUAGUUAAAAAUUAAUUUUCUUUAAAAACUAAUUUGAAGUAUAAUUACAAAAACGCUUAACAUAUCUGUUAAUGACAAAAUUUUCGAAAUUAUUUCCUCUAUUUAUUAUAAAAAUGAUAGAAAAAAAAGUUUAAGUUUAUAAGAUGCAAUUAUACGCAAAAUAUAUAAUUCUACCUUCAUAAUUCAUUCGAGUUUUUGAUUAUUUUAUACUAUAUCUACAAUAUAAUGCAAAGUUCAUAAAAAAAUAUGGAGACUACGUAUUAUUUCCUGAGUGAAUUAAACAUUGUCACAGAAUAAUAUAUUAAAAUAAAUUGCAAAUUAGCAUAUUUUAAAUGUGUAAUGUCGAGAUACGCAAAAGAAAGAAUUAAUUGAAUAAACUUUUGUCGUGUUUGAAUACAUACAUGUACGUAACAUUACUAAUGGAUAAAAAUCUUCAUUGUUGUUUUUAGAAGAUCUAUCUGUUGCUCAACGAAAAGCGGAUAAGGCCAAAUAGACGUCUGAUCUUUUGUCGCAAAAUGAUGAAUUUAGGAAACGGCGACAUAGUAAACGAGAAAAGAAAAAAAAACAAAUCGACGAAACAUUUGUCCGAUAUCGAAUCUUCUGAUUUGUCACGGUCUGAAUCAGAUACUAAUAUUUAUCCCUCUCCAAGCGCCCUUAUAACAAAUGAUAAAAACUUUGUUCAAAAUCUGCCAAUCGAGAUCGUAACUAAAUCGACAACUGAAUGUAAAAUUCCUCGAAGAAUAGAUACAGACUUUCAGAAGCAAGUGUUGAAAGAACUGAACGCUACGCACUUGAAAUUGAACGAUAUAAUGGAAAGUGUGGCCCUUUUAUUAAAAAAUAAAAAAAUUUUUAUUUGUAAUUAUGCUUGUUUAAGACUGUAAAAAAGCUACAAAUAUUUCAGGAUUCUUUUCUUUUUACAUAAUAACUUAAGACCUUCGAGUAGAGAAAUACUUAUGAGCGGUG